UCUUUUUGUGUUUAAAUUGUUUUUAUACCUUGUGUUAAAGUUGUGAAUACUGAAUUGAGUCAUAAAAUUUAUUAAUAUUUUCUUUAAUAUCCAACAAGGUUGAGAAGACAUAAGGGAUGGCAAUGAAAUUACUCCUAGGUAUAUGAAUAAAGGUUUACAAUGGGUUUGAUCCUAAGCGCCACAUAUUAACCUGACUGCCCUCUUCUGUAAUGUAAAAUCUUACACAAUACAGAAUUACCCCAUAAGGAGAUACCGUAGCUAAAAUGACUGAAUGUAAGCUCAGAAGGAUGCCAGGAGAAACACUACUCUUUAGUGAUAUCAACAAAAAGACUCCCUUUGCUAGUUUGGUGGCUACACUGUCAAUAUUAUUUCCCCAUUUUAAGUCAGUUUGUAAAAAUAUGCCCAGGAAUUUCAAAACACAGAUUUCUUUGUUUUUUGGUGACAAGCUAAGUGCUAAGUCCUUCACCUUCCCAGCAUUCAGACUUAACUUAGUAGCACAGCACCAGUCUACAACUAUGUUUGUCUUAUCUUCUAGGGUGUUUUGGCCUCCAUUCAUAGUACUACUCUCCCUAACAUUUAAACUUAAGUCAUCUGCGAAUAAAAAAAAUAUUUACAUUGGAAUUAGUUAAGUUGCUAGGUAAGUCAUUAGUAUAUAAAAUAAACAGCAUAGGCUCCAAGAUAGAUCCCUGUGGUACACCACGAGGGACUGUUUCUUAUAAAAAAUUCCAUCAGUAAAUGCAGCCUGCUGUCUACCCUCUAGGUAGGAUUUUUGUUCAAUUAAGAACUGAAAAACUUCUCAUUGCACUUAGUCCUUAAGUGACCUUUGUGCUUGCUUCUGGAAUGAACAGGAUAUUCAGGAUGGGUGAGGUUGGGAAUAGGAGCCGCUUCUUGUUGAGAUCCAAUGACACAGAUUCCAUAUCGUAGUCAUGUCACCUUGGAAGAAGGGGAGGCUACCUUUGUUUCAGCCUCUUCCAGUGAAAGAAAGUAUGGAACAGUACUCCCCUCAUGUUUAUGCUUGCAUUUAACAGCCUUUAACACUAAGUGAACUUCAUCCUCCACAGUAAACUUCCUAUUGAUUAAUCCUCUCAUCCCAAUAUCUUGACAUUUAUGGUUAGUUAUGUGCCACUCUAGGCCAGAUUUAAGUAACAGAUUGGUUUUUGCUGUGCCCAGUGUAGGUUCAACUGGAAGUUAUAAACCGGUUAAAAAUGAACACCUUUUAUUACAAUCAGUCUUGUACUUUAGUGACUGUCCUCCAUAUUCUGUUUGAUGAAAUCCUCACACAGGCCAGUGGUCCAUAAGAAUGGACAGAAUAAGUCUAGAAAUAAGACAGUCCUCUUAAAAAGCAGAAAAUCAAUAUAGUAUAAAUAAUUAGUAAUAAACAUUCCACUUAAAACAAUUCUGAGAUAGUCAUUAUAUUUCUCUGAUAGUGUAAUAGAUCAUAUAUUGAUUUGUAAUCGCAGUGAGAUUUCUCUUAUGUACUUCCGCAAACUGCACCCCCUAGGUGAUCCUAGGUAGUGGAUGUCAACACUAACUUGGCUUAUGAAAUCCGGCCAAGUUUUGAUGAAGUGCCUUAUUCAUAACUCAAAAUAUGACCCUUUAGUGGAAGACGAAACAUUGAUAGAUGGAAUGCUUACAUGCUGGUUAUGCUUACAUUCAUCUUCGUGACGGUCUAGAAACUCCAAUAUCGACAAGACACUUAGCUCUUGCAAGUGACUAUUAUUUAUUCAAGGGCUCACAAGACAUACCUACUCCAGGGUAUGAUGAAGAAGAUAUUACUGCUAGAGAUCUUACUAGAGAUCAACCAGGCCCACCAUCAGAAGUCAUAGAAUUUACCUACUCAAUAACAGAACCAAAACUUUGUCAGUCAUCAACUGCCCCUUCCUUGUGAGCGAAAGAGCUCUAAAGUAGACGUCUUCCAGACUGUCUCAGAUUAUAACUUAAACUAAAAAAAAAAAAUAGCUGGGGAGAAUGUAAUAGAUCAAAUGUUAAUUUGUAAUUAUAUGUUUAUUCUCUAAAUGAACAGUUUUUUUUAUUUCAAUAUUUUAUGAAGUUGUCCUCCUCCGUAGAGAUCACGGGAAUAACAGCCACAGUGACCAAAAACAAGCCAGCAUAGCCAAGAGCUGAGGCUUAAAAGAGAGAAAAAAUGAAGUUGUUGUAACACUGAUUAUGUUUGUUUUAUACUAGGGCCUAGCUCAAUUGUGUUUAAUUAAAACUAAUUUCAGAUAAACUCUUUGUGUUAUAUCUAUAUCAUGUAGCUUUAUCAUAGGCUAUAUCUUCAUCAUGGCAACCAACUCUAGAUAUCUAAGUACUUGGUUUUUCAAAACUUAUGAAUUUCUUCUAAGAAGAACUUCAGACAUGAUGAAAGGAUUGUUCCAGAGAGUGUAAAAACCUCAGGGGUAGGGUGAGCUACAGGCUGGGAGGGUCCUUUUAAAGGUUUUGAUUAAUAAACAGAAAUAUGCGCUGGAAAGAGACCCUAGAGACUGCAGAAAGUUAGAGAAUGAAUUGAAACAUUAGAUGAGAGGAUUCAGUAAGAGAAAAUACAGAGAUUAUGUAGACUCUGUACUUGCAAGGAUCUAGAGAUUGGUUACAGGUGCCACUACUAAUAUAAAAAUUCAAGAGUGGCUCUUAUAAUGCCCAAAAAGGUUAGUAUGUCAUUGAUAUUCUUAUUGGAACUAAUUAUGCUUGAUGGUGUGGAAACUUUUACACCAAUUACUCUGUGGUUGGGAAAUUUAGAAUGAAUGGAGAAAAGGAGUAUUCUGUGUUUAGAGAAUUUAGUCUGAGAUAUGGUUGAUGUCAAAAUUUAGAUUGGACUAAAACUUGUUUUAAUUAUACAGUGGAUACUUAUAUUAACCAGACAUUCACAUAAAUUCAUAUAAUUGUUGUAAAAUUGGAUUUUUGCUAUAUAUACACUUGAUUAUUCCUUUUAUGUGCAGUAAUAUCAUAUACAAAGUGUAAAACAACUAACAUAGAUAUCACCCAAAGGAUUUAAAAAAAAUAAACAGUCUUACUCAGAAACAGCUGAUGAUAAAGGUUGCAAUUAUAUAAAAUAGUCUGAUCAGAUGUAACCUUAUUUUAAUGUAAUUUAACCAUAAUCACUAAAUUCAACAUUGUUUAAUACUGAAAUAGGUUGAUAAUAGUUUAAUAAUGACUUUAUCUGAUAGUAUAAAUGAAAACAUUUCUCAGAAUAAAGUUUUGAUUCAUGAAGCCGCUAAAAAAGAUGGUAAACUACCACCCCCGUUCUGGAGUACAACAGCAAAAUUUAUGAGUAGUCUAUGGUGUAAAACAAAGAAAUUCUCUUUGUUGUGUUUUGCAUGUUACAUGUUUUAAAUUCUAAAAUUAAAUAUUUUUCUCCUUAAAGUAUA
rnacentral:lncRNA from 1 species